AUACGGAGGGUGCAAGCGUUGUUCGGAAUCACUGGGCGUAAAGGGCGCGCAGGCGGUUUGGUAAGUCAGAUGUGAAAGCCCAUGGCUCAACCAUGGAAGUGCAUUUGAAACUGUCAGACUUGAGUACUAGAGGGGAAAGUGGAAUUCCCGGUGUAGAGGUGAAAUUCGUAGAUAGCGGGAGGAAUACCGGUGGCGAAGGCGACUUUCUGGCUAGAUACUGACGCUGAGGCGCGAAAGCGUGGGGAGCAAACAGGAUUAGAAACCCGGGUAGUCC
rnacentral:rRNA from 1 species